rnacentral:rRNA from 1 species
GAUGAACGCUAGCGGCAGGCUUAACACAUGCAAGUCGAGGGGCAGCGCGGGAUAGCAAUAUCCUGGCGGCGACCGGCGGAAGGGUGCGUAACGCGUGAGCGACAUGCCCGUUGCCCGGGGACAACCGGUGGAAACGCCGACUAAUCCCCGAUGGGAUAUUGUGCCGCAUGGCACGAUAUUGAAAGUUACGGCGGCGACGGAUUGGCCCGCGUCCGAUUAGCUUGUUGGCGGGGUAACGGCCCCCCAAGGCUGCGAUCGGUAGGGGUUCUGAGAGGAAGGCCCCCCACAAUGGGACUGAGACACGGCCCAUACUCCUACGGGAGGCAGCAGUGAGGAAUAUUGGUCAAUGGGCGGAAGCCUGAACCAGCCAUGCCGCGUGCGGGAAGGAGGCCCUAUGGGCUGUGAACCGCUUUUGCCUGGGGGCAAUAAGGGCGUCGCGCACGUCCGAUGAGAGUACCAGGCGAAUAAGCAUCGGCUAACUCCGUG